UUGGAGGGCAAGUCUGGUGCCAGCAGCCGCGGUAAUUCCAGCUCCAAUAGCGUAUAUUAAAGUUGUUGCAGUUAAAAAGCUCGUAGUUGAAUUUCGGGAUCGGUGGGUCGGUCGUGCCUCCGGUACGCACUGUCCUUCCCGGUUCUUCCCCUUGGAAGAACCGCGAUGUCAUUAAUUUGGUGUUGCGGGGAAUCAGGACUGUUCCUGUGAAAAAAUUAGAGUGUUUAAACCAGGCUAAAGCUUGAAUCCAUUACCAGGGAAUAAUGAAAUAGGACGUUUGAUCUUAUUUUGUUGGUUUUUAAGAUCGACGUAAUGAUUAAUAGGGAUAGUUGGGGGCAUUAUUAUUCAAUUUUCAGAGGUGAAAUUCUUGGAUUUAUUGAAGACUAACUACUACGAAACCAUUUGCCAAGGAUGUUUUCAUUAAUCAAGAACGAAAGUUAGGGGAUCGAAGACGAUCAGAUCCCGUCGUAUUCUUAACCAUAAAGUACCCGAUUAGGGAUUCGGAAGGAGUUUUAUUUUA
rnacentral:rRNA from 1 species